rnacentral:rRNA from 1 species
UACGGAGGGUGCAAACGUUGCUCGGAAUCAUUGGGCGUAAAGCGCACGUAGGCGGCCUAGCCAGUCGGGUGUGAAAGCCCUCGGCUUAACCGAGGAAGUGCAUUCGAAACUACUGGGCUUGAGUACUGAAGAGGAUCGCGGAAUUCCCGGUGUAGAGGUGAAAUUCGUAGAUAUCGGGAGGAACACCAGUGGCGAAGGCGGUUCUCUGGGCCUGACCUGACGCUGAGGAGCGAAAGCGUGGGGAGCGAACAGG